UAUUUCCUUGAUUACAAGGUAUUGAAUAAGGUUUUAAUUGAAUGCUAAAAGAAUGGAAUAUCAAAGAAUAACUUUCUUAAAAUUAAAAAUUGAAAUUUUUUUAAUUUGUGUAAAAACAAUUAUAUAAAUUAAAGACAAGAAGACCCUAAGAAUUUUUAAAAUUUAAAUUAACACAUUUUUGUUUUAAUUAAAUUUUAACUGGGGCGGUUAAAAAAUAUUAAAAACUUUUUAAUUAUGAAAAUGACCCAUUAUUAAUGAAAAUAUGAUAAAAUACUCUAGGGAUAACAGCGUUAUAUUUUUUGAUAGAUCAUAUUGACAAAAAAGUUUGCGACCUCGAUGUUGGAUUAGGAUACUUUUUUAAUGAAGAUAUUAAAAUAAGAAGUUUGUUCAACUUUUAAAUUCCUACAUGAUCUGAUUUUAGACCGAA
rnacentral:rRNA from 1 species